UGGGGACUGCAAAGAACCAAGGCAAAUGGAGAGAAGGAAGUGGUACAUAAAGCAAGACGUGGCAGAAUAUCUCUGUGCACUCACUCAGUGCCAUGGGUUUUUAAACUCAAGAUUCUGACAUAUGAAGCAGUUUCUCCCAGAAAAUUCCCAAAACAAAGAUCAUCUCUGAGAUGUACUUGAUUUCAUCUGGGAUCUUUCACAUGACUUUGCUGUCCAUCAUGCAAGAAGCUUUUCAAUUCUGCCUUGCUCAUUACUAAGACAAAUCAAUACAAAUGUUGCUGCUGCGUUCAAAGAAAGCACAGGCAAGUCUGGUUCUAAAAUAUCAGAACUGUUCCAUUAUUGGAAAUGGUAUGGCUA
rnacentral:lncRNA from 1 species